CUUUUUAGAGCUAUUCGUUUUUAAAACCCAGAGCAAGACCCUAUAGUUACAAACAUAAGUGAAUCAGACAAUUGGAUAAAUAUACAUGCAAAGAACAAGACCCACUGGGAAUGAAAAUGGCUGCAUUUUGUAACACUGUAAUUUAUAACUUGCAUGGCUAGGAAAGGGGCAAUGGAUCCUAAAUUAUCCUUUUUUAUAUAAAAAAAAAUAGUGCAUAACAUCAUCUCCUACACAGAAAAACCAGUGAGUGGCUGAUGUUAUUUCUUCCUAGGUAAGGAAUGGUUUCUGAGAAGAUUGCCCGUGACCUGCCACCCAUCAUACUGAUUUGGGUAUCGUCAGCUGUUUCGUUAAGGGCUGUUGCCACUCCCAGUCACUCGUGGCUCUUCAUUCUUGCUGCACAAUCAGCAUGAGCUGUUGUGGGAACUGAGCCACCCCAUGGGUGAUUGCUGGGCACCAGUGCCACCUGUCAGCUUGGGUUGCCUCCCAGUUAAUGACAGCUAUGCCGCACUUGCAAGACUGCCUCAAAGUGUCCUUGACAGAUUCUGUUUCCUGCUUCAUUUCCCAGUCACGGUGCACAUGCAGCUGCUUCUUGAAAUCGCCACAACCAGGCAGGAAAUUCAAGUUGGCAUCAACGACGCUAAGUCUCAUUGAUAGAAUGUUCCCUCGAUUCGCUCUGCCAGCAUUACCCCUUCGGUCUUUCAAACCCAUAACCCCAGUCUAACCAUGAGAACAACUUCAGACAAAUUCAAAUUGACAAACAUUCUACAAAAUAGCUGACCAGUACUCUCAAAACCUUGACAGGUCGCCCAAAGAAAAUAAAGUCUGAGACAC
rnacentral:lncRNA from 1 species